UUUUUCAUAGCUAAAAUAUACUAAAAUUGGGUCGAUGCUGAGAAGAUUAUCAUGGGCCCUGUGCAAGGAUGACAUAUGUUUCGUAUUUGGUGUGAAGAAUUUCA